rnacentral:rRNA from 1 species
AACGAACGCUGGCGGCAUGCCUAACACAUGCAAGUCGAACGAGACCUUCGGGUCUAGUGGCGCACGGGUGCGUAACGCGUGGGAACCUGCCCUUAGGUUCGGAAUAACUCUCCGAAAGGGGUGCUAAUACCGGAUAAUGUCUUCGGACCAAAGAUUUAUCGUCUUUGGAUGGGCCCGCGUUGGAUUAGCUAGUUGGUAGGGUAAAAGCCUACCAAGGCGACGAUCCAUAGCUGGUCUGAGAGGAUGAUCAGCCACACUGGGACUGAGACACGGCCCAGACUCCUACGGGAGGCAGCAGUGGGGAAUAUUGGACAAUGGGCGAAAGCCUGAUCCAGCAAUGCCGCGUGAGUGAUGAAGGCCUUAGGGUUGUAAAGCUCUUUUACCCGGGAUGAUAAUGACAGUACCGGGAGAAUAAGCUCCGGCUAACUCCGUG